rnacentral:rRNA from 1 species
UACGUAGGGUGCGAGCGUUGUCCGGAAUUAUUGGGCGUAAAGAGCUUGUAGGCGGUUUGUCGCGUCUGCUGUGAAAAUCCGGGGCUCAACCCCGGACUUGCAGUGGGUACGGGCAGACUAGAGUGCGGUAGGGGAGACUGGAAUUCCUGGUGUAGCGGUGAAAUGCGCAGAUAUCAGGAGGAACACCGGUGGCGAAGGCGGGUCUCUGGGCCUGUACUGACGCUGAGGAACGAAAGCGUGGGGGAGCGAACAGG